CCCCCCUCCCCCUCCUAAACUACUACACUGGUACCAGGUGUUGGACAGAACCAUUGGAGGCGUACCCCCCUCCCCCUCCUAAACUACUACACUGGUACCAGGUGUUGGACAGAACCAUUGGAGGCGUACCCCCCCUCCCCCUCCUAAACUACUACACUGGUACCAGGUGUUGGACAGAACCAUUGGAGGCGUACUCCCCCCUCCCCCUCCUAAACUACUACACUGGUACCAGGUGUUGGACAGAACCAUUGGAAGCAUGUCCCAGCCCAGUUUUAGUCACAGUGCAUUUUUCAGAGGCAUAGAUCUAUGAUUGUUCAUAAUUGAUGUGCUAAAAUAUAUAGCAGAAGAGCUAUUGUUAAUGAACUUCUUCAGCUUCUAGUGUAUUCUAUAUUUACCACAUAUCCACUCCCAUACAAUAUGUUUUGACAGGUGAAGCAAGCUCACGGGGGCAGCAGGUAGCUUAGUGCUUAGAGCGUUGGACUAGUAACCGAAAGGUUGCUAGAUCGAAUCCCCGUGCCGACAAGGUAAAAAUCUGUCGUUCUGCCUCUGAACAAGGCAGUAUAGGGGGUCUAUAAAAUCCAAUCGAUUUUCUCCUCAAAUUAUGUUUUCUC
rnacentral:lncRNA from 1 species